GAACGGGUGAGUAACACGUGGGCAACCUGCCCUUGGCUUUGGGAUAAGCCCUGGAAACGGGGUCUAAUACCGGAUAUGACUGCUUCACGCAUGUGGGGUGGUGGAAAGUUCCGGCGGCCAGGGAUGGGCCCGCGGCCUAUCAGCUUGUUGGUGGGGUAAUGGCCUACCAAGGCGACGACGGGUAGCCGGCCUGAGAGGGCGACCGGCCACACUGGGACUGAGACACGGCCCAGACUCCUACGGGAGGCAGCAGUGGGGAAUAUUGCACAAUGGGCGAAAGCCUGAUGCAGCGACGCCGCGUGAGGGAUGACGGCCUUCGGGUUGUAAACCUCUUUCGACAGGGACGAAGCGCAAGUGACGGUACCUGUAGAAGAAGCACCGGCUAACUACGUGCCAGCAGCCGCGGUAAUACGUAGGGUGCGAGCGUUGUCCGGAAUUAUUGGGCGUAAAGAGCUCGUAGGCGGUUUGUCGCGUCGACUGUGAAAACUGGGGGCUUAACUCUCAGCUUGCAGUCGAUACGGGCAGACUUGAGUUCGGUAGGGGAGACUGGAAUUCCUGGUGUAGCGGUGAAAUGCGCAGAUAUCAGGAGGAACACCGGUGGCGAAGGCGGGUCUCUGGGCCGAUACUGACGCUGAGGAGCG
rnacentral:rRNA from 1 species